rnacentral:rRNA from 1 species
ACCGAAUAGAUACCCAGGUAGUCCACGCCGUAAACUAUGAACGCUAGCCGUUGGCGAGCUUGCUCGUCAGUGGCGCAGCUAACGCAUUAAGCGUUCCGCCUGGGGAGUACGGCCGCAAGGUUGAAACUCAAAGAAAUUGACGGGGGCCCGCACAAGCGGUGGAGCAUGUGGUUUAAUUCGACGCAACGCGCAGAACCUUACCAGGGUUUGACAUCCCGAGACCGCUGCUGAAAGGCAGUUUCCCGCAAGGGCUCGGAGACAGGUGCUGCAUGGCUGUCGUCAGCUCGUGUCGUGAGAUGUUGGGUUAAGUCCCGCAACGAGCGCAACCCUCGCCUUUAGUUGCCAUCAUUAAGUUGGGCACUCUAGAGGGACCGCCGGCGACAAGCCGGAGGAAGGUGGGGAUGACGUCAAGUCCUCAUGGCCCUUACACCCUGGGCUACACACGUGCUACAAUGGCGGUGACAGUGAGCAGCUAACUCGCGAGAGUAUGCUAAUCUCCAAAAACCGG